ACAGACAAACAGAACAGUGUAAAGGUACUGAUUCAACUAACUACUGACAGAUUAUUAAUGUCCUAUUUCAUUAGAGAGAGAACACGCUGCUUACUGGAGAGAGUUAUUGUUAGCUAGGAGGAAGACAUGGAGGGUUCAACGCUGACACAGAGGAGGGCUGAGUGUCAGUUGAAGGAAAGUGAGAUCCAGACAGACUACAUGAUGGAGCUGGGAGCCAGGUUGGGUCUGGUGAGACAGAUCCAGAGGGAGCAGGAGAAGGAGAUGAAGAGGAUUUGGUUUGAGACGAGGAAAAUGCCAAGCCUGAUUGAGGAGAAUGUGAGAGAUGUGACCAACCGUCCACUCACUGAGUUCAUGGCUCCCUGUAUUGACUCCCUCCCACCGCUGGCUUUCACCAAUCGGAGGCCUAUACCAACCAUGUUGCAUCCCCCCUCUCCAUUGGCCAUACGCACUCAGGAUGCACAGCGGUUCAUUGUAUUUUCAUACUUUGUCCCUGCUGAGUGCCCAGUUGCUACAGAGGCCACAGCAGAUGUAUCUACUCGUAAAAGAGAGGACUUAUUGACAGAUACACAUCUUUCCUCAAUGCUGCAUCGAUACCUGCCACACUUCUAUAACGAUGAGUCCAUUCCACCACAGCAGACAGUAGAGGGAACCACUGAGGUCUCAGUUGCUCCAGUGGCAAUAUCUAAUAUAAAGGAAAAGGAC